GAUGAACGCUGGCGGCGUGCUUAACACAUGCAAGUCGAACGAUGAAGCCCAGCUUGCUGGGUGGAUUAGUGGCGAACGGGUGAGUAACACGUGAGUAACCUGCCCUUAACUCUGGGAUAAGCCUGGGAAACUGGGUCUAAUACCGAUAGGGAGCUUCCCCCGCAGGGUGGGUGUUGGAAAGAUUUAUCGGUUUUGGAUGGACUCGCGGCCUAUCAGCUUGUUGGUGAGGUAAUGGCUCACCAAGGCGACGACGGGUAGCCGGCCUGAGAGGGUGACCGGCCACACUGGGACUGAGACACGGCCCAGACUCCUACGGGAGGCAGCAGUGGGGAAUAUUGCACAAUGGGCGCAAGCCUGAUGCAGCGACGCCGCGUGAGGGAUGACGGCCUUCGGGUUGUAAACCUCUUUCAGUAGGGAAGAAGCGAAAGUGACGGUACCUGCAGAAGAAGCACCGGCUAACUACGUG
rnacentral:rRNA from 1 species